rnacentral:lncRNA from 1 species
AUGGACAUUAUUUACACCUUUCAGCCGUCCCCCAUCUUUGUUCUCAACGUUGUCACCAACUCCACGGUAACGUGCCAAAUCCGAUGCGAUGGGUCGGGUCCCGGCCGCACGUGUGGGCCGUGGACUCGUCUACGGUCACACCGUCGCCACGUCCCUGUCCGCCCCCUCGUGCUCCUUGCUGACCUGUACGACGACGACGAGUUCAUCACCGUGCUGCUGCGCGACGUCUCGUCGUCGUCGUCGCCAUCGAGCGCGACGGGCAUCGCGGGCCACAUGAACGCCGGCUUCGACGGCGGGACGUGCGGCGGCGGGGCGGCGCCCGUCAGGAUCUGCAGGAUGGCCUGCGUCCUCGGCCGCUCCCCGGGGUUCGGGUGGCUGCACGCGAGGCCCAGCAGCAGGAGCCGCUCGGCCUCGGCCUCGUCGAACUCGCCGGCGAGCCUCUGGUCGACGGCCUCGAGGAUGCGGCCGCCGCCGCCCGCCGCGCCGUGGAGCUUCCACACGGCCUCCAGCAGCUGGCUGCACCCGGCGGGGUUGCUGCAGGAGAUGCGGCGGCCGCAGACGAUCUCCAGGAUGACGGCGCCGAAGCCGAACACGUCCGACUCCCGCGUCGCGCGGCCGGUGUGGAAGCACUCCGGCGCGAUGUACCCCAGCGUCCCCGGGACGCCGAUGAUGUCGGUGUACGACGUCUUGUCGGACUCGAGCGCGCGGGCGAGGCCGAAGUCGCCGAGCCGCGCGUUGAAGGCGGAGUCGAGCAUGACGUUGGACGGCUUGAUGUCGCGGUGGAUCACCAUCUGGUCGUACUCGUGGUGGAGGUAGUUCAGCGCCG